rnacentral:rRNA from 1 species
CCCUAAAAAACCGAAUCUCAGUUCGGAUUGAAGUCUGAAAUUCGACUUCAUGAAGCUGGAAUUGCUAGUAAUGGCAGGUCAGCAUACUGCCGUGAAUACGUUCCCGGGCCUUGUACACACCGCCCGUCACACCAUGAGAGUUGGGAAUACCCGAAGCCUGUGAGCUAACUGUAAAGAGGCAGCAGUCGAAGGUAGAAUCAAUGAUUGGGGGUGAAGUCGUAACAAGGUAGC